rnacentral:lncRNA from 1 species
CAGUACCAAGGCCCACCAAGCUUCCAGGAGACAGGAUAGUGGAUACUGUCUUGCCCAGGGCUGUUAAUGUUGACUGCUGUUAAUGUGUACCUGCUGAUUUUGUGUGUGUAGGAGUUAGCUAGGGCCCUUGGGUACUAUCCCACAGACAAAUUGGGAUAGAAGAAUUAAUCUUUAGAGCAAUACUUUUCUGGUCUGUUUCUUCAUUGGGAGCAGACAGCAUGUCUAGCUCCUUUUAGUCCAUCCAGCACAUACUAAUUUAUUACUUAGGAUGUGCUUAGUCAUUGCAUAAACAUGCUUAAUAACAUAAAGGAUGCGGGGCAUGUUGGUGCACACCUGUAAUACAGGCUACUCAGGGAGGCUGAGGCAGGAGGAUUAUAAAUUCAAAGCCAGCCUCAGCGAUUUAGGCCCUAAACAAGUUAGCUAACCUUCUCUUAAAAAUAAAAAGGGCUGGAGAUGUGGCUAUGAGUUGUUAAGUGUCUAGGUUUAAUCUCUGGCACAAAAUAAAUAAAUAAAUAACAUGGUGGAAAGGGCAUGUGGUUUAAAGUAAAGAAAGAGCUGGAUCACAAGUGUCAGCUGUUUAAAUUGGGGCAGAUUACUUCAAGCCUUAAUUUCUUUUUUUUUUUAAUAUUUAUUCUUAAGUUUUAGGUGGAC